rnacentral:rRNA from 1 species
GAUGAACGCUGGCGGCGUGCCUAAUACAUGCAAGUCGAGCGAACAGACGAGGAGCUUGCUCCUCUUACGUUAGCGGCGGACGGGUGAGUAACACGUGGAUAACCUACCUAUAAGACUGGGAUAACUUCGGGAAACCGGCGCUAAUACCGGAUAAUAUAUUGAACCGCAUGGUUCAAUAGUGAAAGACGGUUUUGCUGUCACUUAUAGAUGGAUCCGCGCCGCAUUAGCUAGUUGGUAAGGUAACGGCUUACCAAGGCAACGAUGCGUAGCCGACCUGAGAGGGUGAUCGGCCACACUGGAACUGAGACACGGUCCAGACUCCUACGGGAGGCAGCAGUAGGGAAUCUUCCGCAAUGGGCGAAAGCCUGACGGAGCAACGCCGCGUGAGUGAUGAAGGUCUUCGGAUCGUAAAACUCUGUUAUUAGGGAAGAACAAAUGUGUAAGUAACUAUGCACGUCUUGACGGUACCUAAUCAGAAAGCCACGGCUAACUACGUG